UGUGUGUCAAAUAGCAGUAUGUUAAAUGAGAGAGACAGCUCCGAUGUUAUUAUAAGUCGGCUAUAUAAAAAGACCACAAACAGUUAUCCUGUUGGGUUCUUCUUCUGUCAAUAAGAAUACACAACAAGGUUGAUAUUAUUCAUCAUUACAUUAACAA